GGCCCAAUGGUCUAGUGGUAAGAUACUUGCUUUGGGUACCUGGCAACGGGAACUAAUUGCAAGGGACCCUGGGUUCGAAUCCCAGUUGGGCCC